rnacentral:rRNA from 1 species
CAGUAGCCGCGGUAAUACGUAGGGUGCGAGCGUUAAUCGGAAUUACUGGGCGUAAAGCGUGCGCAGGCGGUUAUAUAAGACAGAUGUGAAAUCCCCGGGCUCAACCUGGGACCUGCAUUUGUGACUGUAUAGCUAGAGUACGGUAGAGGGGGAUGGAAUUCCGCGUGUAGCAGUGAAAUGCGUAGAUAUGCGGAGGAACACCGAUGGCGAAGGCAAUCCCCUGGACCUGUACUGACGCUCAUGCACGAAAGCGUGGGGAGCAAACAGGAUUAGAUACCCGAGUAGUCCCUGUCUCUUAUAC